UUUGGUGUCGCUGUAAUGUGUUUGUACUUGGUCAAAGCGGUGCCCACCUUCCACACUGGAAACAGCCAAAUUUUCACCGCUGCGAUCUGCCAUUUUGCCCCCUCCUCACAUCUCCCAUCUCUCUUUCAUCUCAUUGUCCGCCGCCCCGCCGCACAGCGCUGCUCCUCCGCCGCCUCCUCAUCUUCUGUUUCCCACCGACCACAGUGCUUUGCCGAGCCCCUAUCGCGCGGGCCCGCGAACCGUAGCCGCGCCAUGGGCUGGUCGCCCAUCGCCGUCACUGCUUCCUUUUCCACCGCACCUCCGACUCCUCCUCCUCAUCGAGUUCGACUUCCUCUAUGUCGCCUGCACCUCCCCCUCGACCUCCUAGAGCUCCAGCUCCACUACAUCGACCCCGACGACCACCUCCUAGAACCCCGCCUCGACCAUGUCAUUCGCUGCUUGGGCGACGAGGUAGAGGCGGCGGGGAACACCGGCCUCUGUCGACGUCGGCCGAAGCUUCACUAGAGGGGAACGUCGGCCUCUGCUGGUGGGGUGCAGUCGGCGCGGACGCGUUGGUGGCCGUCGCAGGAGUCAGGCGACCGCGCGGCGCCUCCCCAUUCCAAGACUGAGGGCCUCCUCUCUCUCCACAGGCUGCCUUGCUCUUCAAUGUAUGAGAUCCACCAUGUCUAGGUUGUCGCCAUGGCGGUACCACCAAGGCUCUAGAAUUGUGCAGUUAUUCCCAUGGUCAAUGAUCUCUCUCAAGUGGAGGACAUGUGCAUGGUCGCCGGUUGAGCGGACGGACUGGAGUGGGGGCGGAGCUGCAGCCUCCUCUCAUGGCAUGGGCGCCCUCCUCUCUCUCUCUCUCUCUGGCUGGCUGUCGUGGGAGCCCCUGCCAGACCGGAAGUGGGAAGGAGGUAGGUGAUGAUGGAAAUUUUCUGAUGAUUAGGUGCUCUGCUUUUUGAUUUCGGUGCGUAAGAAGUGUUUGUCGUUAUUCCUACAAGAACUUAAUCAGUGUAUUUUCAGAUUCUCAUUUCGUUUUUGUGGGCUAAAGCAAUUUAUUCAACUGAUAACCCAUAUGCUUAGCAUGCAGUGCAUCUGAGAUUUCUUCUUGCUACCCUUGAUAUCUUAUGGCUACUGGGAGUGGUCCGAUGAUCUGAAUUUUUGGUUGUCAUAUUCUGCAAUUAGAUGUUGGAGCUCAGCAUGGACGCAAUAGAAUGAUUCAAUCAUCUUAACUGUAUUUUUUCUUGAUGACAACCGUUGGCAUAUGCAUUGCAGAUUUAGGCCUCACGACUGCACUGGAUGUUCGAGGUAUGAUGCCGUGAAGAUUUUUCUCCAUUUUUUCUCACUGCACUAUUUAGGUUAUUUGCAACAAAUGGGCCGUGAAGAUUUUUCUCCAUAUCCUUUUUUUCUCACUGCACUAUUUAUGUUAUUUGCAACAAGUGGUUCGCAAUAUGUACAGUGGGUUUAUUCCUAUAGAUUUUCCUCACUGCACUAUUCAGCACGGACCAGGUCCAUGGCAAGUCCUAUAGAAAUUUAAUGGUUAAUUUUGAUGAUGAUUGAUGGUUGAUAUUUUCUGUUGCUUUUCCAGGAACUUAAUAUUCAAAUUAACAUGCAUUUGCUUAAGGUACUGACAUUAGUCCAACACACAUGACACAUCAGUUCUUUCAGUUUCAAGGCGUUUCUUUGAAGGUAUCUGCAAGUUCUAAAUUCGUAUGUUGAUUGUACGACAUGCCGGUGAAGCUCUUUCCUGGCCGGCGGCAUGGUGUGGGUCAGGUCGUCCAAAGUCAUGGUCGACGUUGACACGCUCCAGCCAUCCCCACUCAGGUUUUCCCACCGCAACUGCUCACCUGGACGGUGACUCUGCCACAUGUUCAGCUGGGUGGGCGCUCAAUGACAAGCAAUGCUUGCGCCUGCUCGGGAUCAGGUUGCAUUACCGAGAAACGGCCACGACGCCACCCGGGACGACCAUGAUACAGACGACAAGGCAGGGCAAUGAGGACCGUAGUGGCCUAGGGACCUCGCAAGAACACCUGGUAUCUUAAGAUGGUCUAUCUCAUUCUGUUGUUCUAGCAUAGAUUAGCAGCAGAGCAUGCUUUGGUGUUUUUCAGAAGCACCCGUUCCUUAUUUAAAUAUAGGCUCAACAAGGCAUUGCUUCUAAAUAUGAAUUUUCUUAUCACUCUUGUACAGUUAAAAGUAUGUUGUGCAUUCUGUUCAUUCACGAGAAAUAUUUAUUUACCAGUAUGUAAUAUGCAAAAAAAAAAAACCUUUUUGAUCAACUCUGUUUUGAUGUAUUCUAAUCAUCCUUUCACAACAGACUUUCUUUAAUGGUAACUCAUGUAUUAGUAACUGAUUAAUCUCACCAUCUGUUUCUUUUGUCCUUUGUUUUCAUGUACAUAUUCAACUAUCUUACUUCUUUGUGCAUGUUAAGGUCCUCCUUUUACAAAAGUUACCACUUCCCUGAUGUCCAUGCAUUUACCAUUCUCAUUUGCAUCCUAUUUAUCAUGCCAAUUUUGUAUACUUUGGUUGAUAUAUUAUUCUAAAAAGUAAUAUACUUCCUUUUUUAUUCAGAUUCUAAAGAUGACAUUUCACAACUGAUGAAACAUUUGGAGGGCAAUGGAGUAACCCUUCUGAAAGAUGUAUCCUGCCGAUUGUACUGCUGGAAAUUACUUGUGCAGCGAACCAGGAUCUGGGAAUUCAGAAGCGAUGGACCGUCAGGUUUGGUUUUCUUGAUAUCAUCCUUAGCUUCAUGGAAGAGUUAUCAGCCAUACACAUCGUUUCUGAAGUGAUGAUGGCUGAUGAAAGUUCUGGUUAGCAUGAUGAAGCCACAUGGAAAGCUUGAGGUGACCAUGGUGCUAUUGGCAUAUAUUUGGUCAUCAACCCGUCUCAUUUAACAGCUAUAAAUUAUGUGUGAAAUAUUUUGGAAGAAAUGCAUGUUUUUAUUGUCUCCAUGAUAUUGAAUUAUUGCAAUUUGGUUAAUUCAUAACUUUUAAGAAACACACACUUCUGAAUCUUCAACUGUCAUACUAUUUUGAAGAUUUGAAGAAACACCCUUAUCUAUUCAAUCUGUAUAUUCCGCAAACUUAGCAUUGCAUUGGUGCUUUGUGAGUCCCACCCAACAAACUCCUUGGUGACCUGGGAUUUUUUUCCACCUGGAAGUUCUCUAGAUUCCUAUAAUGUGAUUGAUUAUAUCACUUGAACUUCUGGCGUGGAAUGGCAGAAAAGUUUAAACAUAACCCGAGCUUAAUCUACGCAUCAGGUUUAUUUGGGAGUAAGCAUAACCUGAAGUGUCCUUAAUUUUUGGAUUGAUUAUAUGAGCGAGAACCUACUAUUCUAUUUAUUUAUCUAUACAUGUAGAGCAUGACUUCAGAAUAUAAGAAAUAAACCCUUUCUAGCAUUUCAACUUCACUUAUGUGAUCUUUUAAGAUAAUUUAAUUAAUGCACCACUUGUACAAUCAGUUGCGGCUCGCUUUGGAAUAGUUUGUUCUUGAUGAUGUGUUUAUAUUGAGAGAGUUAUGGUCUCAUAGUUGAGUUUGAUAUAUCCCUGUAAGCUGUCACAUGUAGUUAAGAUAUUUCAUUAAAUGUUGUCCUACUUGAUGCAAAUAGGUUCAGAAACACUCAUCCCUCAUGUCAGGUGCACUUCCAUUGAAAAGGAGUCCGGAAUUAGCCUACUGGAGUUUUUGCAUAACCCAUAGUUUUCCUUUCUAUUUAUUCAAUAUGUUUGUGAUAAAGUUACCAUAUAGAGAAUCAAUUCAGUAAGUUCUCCUUGCACAGUGUGUUAUCAGAACUGUUUAGGAUGUAGCUUAUCAAGCUUCAUUUUGAGGAUCCAAUGGUCAACCGAGGCUGAAUAGAGAUUAGAAGCACUGUAUAAGGUAUUGAAAUAUUAUGUGUGGUUUGAAUUUAAUACCUAGCAAACAUUUACCUCUGGAUGUAUGCUCUCUAAUAUUUCACUAUCUUCCAAAUUUCCCGAAAAAAUAUUUCUAUUUUUAGGUAGAAAGUGAGCUGAUUUUUUCACACCAAGAUUUCUUUUCUUGGUCAUGAUGGCUUUGCCAUGCUGCUAUAGUCCUGUGGCCCUGACUCGCUCUUCAUGUGCUUGCAUCCACUUGGCUAACAAAACAAAGAUGGCAAAAGUCCUUUAUGUUGAAUUUGUUCUCCAUGCAGUCCAAGCAUCUAAGUUCCAUCUUCUUGAACCAUCACACUACACUAUAGUUCUAGAUUGUUAAAAUUAAAGUUUCUAAUUGCAAAUCGCACAUUUAUUAAUUAGACUGGUGAGUUCUUCGUUGAAUCACUAUACUGCAUUAGCUCUACUGUUAGUCCAAACUUUCAAGUUUGAUCUUUUUUUGAGUCAUAGAACACAUCAAGGGAAUCACCGAGGAGGCCAUCUGGUCCAAACAUGCCAGGGAAGUGGCAUAGGCUCUCUACAACGCCAACCAGAUGGCGAUCAAAGUCUCCUUGGGCGAUAUGGUAAUUGUUUUACCGACGGUGAUGAGGCAUGAUCCCCCUCCGGGAGAAUAUGAGCCACACCAGCCCGUGGUCCCUCUGUCGGCAAUCGGUGAUAUCCCUAGGCCAAGGAAAAAAGAAGGCACUUACCCUAACUUAGUAUUUGGUUGUUUUCUUUGAGUUUUAGCUACUAGAUGUGAUUUAUCGGUGAUUUCCUUAUUUGGUUGCCUUCAUUUAAAAUGUAGUAGAUUUAUCUAAAUUAAGUGUACCUCAUUCCAUUGCCUUCAAAUGUGGUCUUAUCUGUUAGGCUCAUGUUACUGGAGGAAAUAAACGGCUCAAGACUUAGGACUUGUGCCAACGCCUACUCUAGGAAGUGUUGUAGAUGGCAGUGCCAUCCAUAUAUGGCGCUCCACGUGUGUUCACAGUUUUUUGUACUUACGGUAUUUCUGUUCUUAUCUAAAAUUUUACUUACGAUCCAUAUUUGUUCUCAUGUGAGAUACUGCUUAACUUGCACACUGUAAUGUAUAUAACCUUUUCUUAUUGUAUUUCAUAUGAUCAGUGUCCGUUACUCUGUUAGGUUCAUGGUAAAGUAGAGCGUACUUGCAACAAUUAAAUGGCCAAUUCCGAAUGCAAACAAUAGUCUACUGAUUUCUGAACGUAGAACAUUGCCUAUUCAUUGUCUUUAUCACAUUCGUAACAGCUUAACAUAGAAACGUCAUUUGUUCUUCAAUUCCUGACUCGAGCAUGUCAUCAUCACCGUUGUAAUUUAACAUGGAAUUAUCAUUUAUUCUUCAACUCCUAACUACCUUAAUGGUGCGGCGUGCCGCCGCGCCUUUCCUUGCUAGUAAAAUAAAUGGUUAACCAUUGUCAACACAGAUUAAGUGUCGACAAUAUUUUCCUUAUUAACUCCGCCGCUCCAUGAACAUUAUUACCUUUUGAAGUUGCAGGAGAUUUAGGUUAUAACAAAAAAAAGGUCUUGAUUUAUGCUGAAAAUCCCUUUUAUUUAGUGACUAGAGACUUCCUUUUUAUGCUUGUGUUUGCCUACUUGUAGUGGAGAUGGAGAAUUGGGCCAUAAUAUCUUUCCUGUAAUGAAAUGCUUAUGCCUCAAAUGAGGUAUGCGUCUUAAGGUGCCUUUUUACUGAAUUAACUUCUGUUUCACCCAUUUAUUUUUACUACCCAUUAAACACUUCCUUGCUGCAGUCACCUUGUUUUGGUAUAAUAGAAUAAUUUUCAUGAACAUUGUAAUUGCUUUAUAAUUUUUUCUGUACAAUAUGAAUAAUUAAACUUAUAGAAGCACAAUCUGCAGAGAUAAACAUGAUUAUCGAAUCUAUAUUCCGGUAAUUCAGUACCCCUUUAGUGGGCAGUGACAGUGCUGCUCUAAUCUGAAUUAAAUUUCUGCUAUCUAAGAUGUUUUCAAAGAUAUCAGGGAAGUGAGCCGAUCCCUGCUCAAUUUCUAGUGCAGAAAGAUCAGUCGAUCUGGCAAACAGUGCAAUGCAUGAACUUGCAAAGGUGUGUCAUAGUGUGUUGAUUAAAAAUGUUGCUUGGCUCUACUCCAUCCUCCCUGCAUCCUGGAGUUAACUAUGUGUGACUGUAUCAAAGAUGUCUUUAUUAAUCAAGGAUGUCUACAAAUCAAGUGAAUCACCAUUGUGACUGGACCAUAUCCAAGAUAGAAAAUCCCACACAGAGCAUCUCAGUUGUGUAAAUCAACUCAAUCAAAACCUAGCAUUAGCGCUGCCAAUAUGGACAUGGGUUCAGUAGCUGAACCAACCGGCGAUGGGGAGCGUCAUCUUCAUUGCAGGCUUCUUUAGUUAAACAAGUAUACAGGAAGUGAGGCACUUGAAAGGGGAAGAUCUGAACUCACUGCAACCCAAAGAGCUGAUCAUGAUUGAGGAAGCACUUGAUAAUGGACUGACAAGCCUGCAUGAAAAACAUAUGGAGCACUAUGACAGGCUCAUGAAAAAUGGUAAGAUGCUAGAAGAUGAGAACAAGUUGCUUGCAUUUAAACUGGUAAGUGACCUUCCAAAAUGGCUCACUCUUAGAACUUAUUGUUGACUAAGCCGUAUCUGGUUUUGUUCAAGUUCUUGCAAGCUAAAAACUAUUGGCACAAUGUUUAGUCUCCGCUCGAAAGAAUACUUGCAACAUAGCUGUAUCACAUCACAUUUCAAAGAGGAUGAGCGGCCUCAUGAACAGGAUACCAAAUAACAGGUGUAUCGUGUACUCUGUUAGGUUGCCAAGACUUAAGCAGGGUUAGUGCAAAACUGAAAUAAAGCAUCAGGAGAGAGUAC